CUGAAAAGUUCUCCUGCUCCGGGUCUCAGGACUCUGCUGGCCAGGCCAAGGCGGGAGUCUAGGCUUUAGGAGAGCUGACCGCGGGGUUGGAGCUCCAGGAUUC
rnacentral:pre_miRNA from 1 species